rnacentral:miRNA from 1 species
UGGGCUGGCCAAAAAGUUCGUUCGGGUUUUUCUGUAACAUGUUAUAGAAAAACCGGAACUUUUUGACCAACCCA